GAGGGAAUACUCUUUCACACUCAUACUACCCUGCUUGAGAUUGAUGAACUCUAAUACCUUGGUUUGUCUUAGCUCUAGGGGAAAGAAUCUAUCUAGGAAAGCAAUAGCAAACUCUUCACACUCUAUGGGCUCUGCAUCUGUGGCCCUGUCUACCUUCUACUAAUUAAACCACGUAUGAGCUACAUCUUGUAGCUGUAGGCAGCUAACUCAACACUCUCACUGGAAG
rnacentral:lncRNA from 1 species